rnacentral:rRNA from 1 species
UAACAGCUCACUGGUCAAGCAGCGCUGCGCCGAGGCUGUAACGGGGCAAAGCGAUGCGCCGAAGCUGCGGGUUCGUGAGAACACGAACGGUAGGGGAGCGUCGUGGUCGCAGCGAAGGGGUCGCGAAAGCGGCGCUGGAGCGACAACGAGUGCGAAUGCCGGAAUGAGUAACGGAGAAGCGAUGUAGCAAUCAUCGCCACCGAACGUCUGAGGGUUCUGCCGCACGGAUGCACCGCGGCAGGGUAGUCGGGCCUAAGGCGAAGGCGGCAGCCGGAGCUGAUGGACAACAGGUGGAUAGUCCUGUACCGUGGAGCGGUCGCUUGAACCAAGGCCGGAAGCUGAGGGGUAGUCGCCGCGGCGAGACGAGCGCCGUCCAAGCCGGUAGGGAGCCGAGCGCGGCAAAUCCCGUUCGGCGAUGAGCGAGAGGCGAGUGAAAGUGGCCGUCGAGCGACGGCUGCGAUGGCGAGGCGCCUGUGCAGCCACGAAAAGCCGGCUCGGGAGACCCUCCACGCCCGUACCGCAAACCGACACAGGUAGACAGGUCGAGGAGACCAAGGUGGACGAGUGACCCCCAGUUAAGGAACUCGGCAAAUUGACCCCGUACCUUCGGAAGAAGGGGUGCUGCGCGUAGCGUGAAGUCCCUGGCGGAUGGAGCGCGAGGCAGCCGCAGGGUUCAGGCCCGGGCGACUGGAUACCAGAACCACAGCUCCCUGCUAAAGCCGGAAGGCGACGUAUAGGGGGUGAUGCCUGCCCAGUGCCGGAAGGUUAAGGGGAGGUGUGCAAGCGCCGAACCGAAGCCCCGGUAAACGGCGGCUGUAACUAUAACAGUCCUAAGGUAGCGAAAUUCCUUGUCGGGUAAGUUCCGACCCGCACGAAAGGCAUCACGAUCUGGGCACUGUCUCAACUGGGGGCUCGGUGAAAUUGCAGUGGCCGUGAAGAUGCGGCCAACUCAGAGCGGGACAAAAAGACCCCGUGGAGCUUUACUACAGCUUGCCAUCGGGUUGCGCAAGCGGAUGCGUAGGAUAGGUGGGAGGCGGAGAACCGUGGCUUGCGGGCGACGGGGAGCCGACGGUGAAAUACCACUCUUCCGGGUGCGCAGCCCUCACCGGUGGGAAGCCGGGACGGUGGCUGGCGGGUAGUUUGACUGGGGCGGUCGCCUCCUAAAGGGUAACGGAGGCGCGCAACGGCGCCCUCAAGCGGGAUGGUCAUCCGCUGGGGAGUGCAACGGCAGAAGGGCGCUUGACUGCGAGGCCGACGCGCCGAGCAGGGAUGAAAGUCGGCCGUAGUGAUCCCACAGUACCGGGUGGAAGGGCUGUGGCUUAACGGAUAAAAGCUACCCCGGGGAUAACAGGCUCAGACCGCCCAAGAGUUCAUAUCGACGGCGGAGCGUGGCACCUCGAUGUCGGCUCGUCGCAUCCUGGGGCUGGAGUAGGUCCCAAGGGUUGGGCUGUUCGCCCAUGAAAGCGGCACGCGAGCUGGGUUCAGAACGUCGUGAGACAGUUCGGUCUCUAUCCGCUCUGAGCGCGUAGAGCACUGCGCGGGGCUGGCCCUAGUACGAGAGGACCGGGCUGGACGGACCGCUGGUGGAGGAGUUGUGGGGCGACCUGCAGGCUCCGUAGCUACGUCCGGGAGUGAGAACCGCUGAAAGCAUCUAAGUGGGAAACACGCCGCAAGACGAGUGCUCUCACAGCGCAAGGCUGGUAAGCCCCCCGGGAGACGACCGGGGCAAGCGACCGGAGCUGGAGGCGGGGCGACCCGUAGAGGCGACCGGUGCGCAGGGGCGAGGGCUUCCCAC